rnacentral:tRNA from 1 species
AGGAUUGUGGCUCAGCGGUGGAUCGCUCGCCUAGUACGUGUGAGGGCCUGGGUUCGAUCCUCAGCACUACAU